rnacentral:rRNA from 1 species
GAUGAACGCUGGCGGCGUGCCUAAUACAUGCAAGUCGAGCGAACGGACGAGAAGCUUGCUUCUCUGAUGUUAGCGGCGGACGGGUGAGUAACACGUGGAUAACCUACCUAUAAGACUGGGAUAACUUCGGGAAACCGGAGCUAAUACCGGAUAAUAUUUUGAACCGCAUGGUUCAAAAGUGAAAGACGGUCUUGCUGUCACUUAUAGAUGGAUCCGCGCUGCAUUAGCUAGUUGGUAAGGUACCGGCUUACCAAGGCAACGAUGCAUAGCCGACCUGAGAGGGUGAUCGGCCACACUGGCACUGAGACACGGUCCAGACUCCUACGGGAGGAAGCAGUAGGGAAUCUUCCGCAAUGGGAGAAAGCCUGACGGAGCAACGCCGCGUGAGUGAUGAAGGUCUUCGGAUCGUAAAACUCUGUUAUUAGGGAAGAACAUAUGUGUAAGUAACUGUGCACAUCUUGACGGUACCUAAUCAGAAAGCCACGGCUAACUACGUG